GGCUGUUCCUGUGUUUUUCAUUUUGCAUAAUGUAGCUGAAGUCCUCAUCUGUGGGUACCAGAAGUAUGUCUGGAAAGAGAAAACAUCGUUCACAAAGAUCUGUAGUGCCCUCUUCCUCUUGGCUGCUGCAGGGUGCUUUCCCUUCCAGGACUCUCAGCUCGAUCCAGAUGGAUAUUUCUGGGCUGUAAUUCAUGUAUUUUGUGUAGG